rnacentral:lncRNA from 1 species
AUUUACAUGCUUAUUCCUAACAAAAUCUUCUUAAAUAUUGGAACCCAACUGACAGAUAUCUACACGACUGAAGAAGAAGAAGAAUAUGUUUCAAAGGGGGGCGAUCUAAUGUUGCCUGGCGCCGUUCUACCGUCCCAUGAUCGUGUCCUCAUCUCUGCAGAUCUAAAUCACAAGAAUCUCAGGACGAAAAACUAUCGUGUCCUCAUCUUUGCAGAUCUGAGAGGUCGGGGGUGGGCAUGGAUGUGGUGAGUUCAAGAAUAAUCUAAAAAAUUGAGGUUUUUUUAAUAAAUAAAAUUGAUAUUUGAAGUGUUAAUAUUUUUAAUAGUAUGUUUCUUUUAUAUUUAAGUGUAAAUUUAAAA